rnacentral:rRNA from 1 species
UACGUAGGGUGCGAGCGUUAAUCGGAAUUACUGGGCUUAAAGCGCGUGUAGGCGGGAGGGCACGUCCGUCGCUGAAAUCCCCCGGCUCAACCGGGGAACGGGCGCGGAUACGACCUUCCUGGAGGGGCGUAGGGGGACCUGGAACUUCCGGUGGAGCGGUGAAAUGCGUUGAGAUCGGAAGGAACGCCCGUGGCGAAAGCGAGGUCCUGGACGCCUACUGACGCUGAGACGCGAAAGCCAGGGGAGCGAACGGG